AACCUGCCUCAAAGAGGGGGACAACAGUUGGAAACGACUGCUAAUACCGCAUAACAGUAGAUGUUGCAUGACAUCUAUUUGAAAGGGGCAAUUGCUCCACUACCAGAUGGACCUGCGUUGUAUUAGCUAGUUGGUGAGGUAACGGCUCACCAAGGCGACGAUACAUAGCCGACCUGAGAGGGUGAUCGGCCACACUGGGACUGAGACACGGCCCAG
rnacentral:rRNA from 1 species